rnacentral:rRNA from 1 species
AGGUUGAUCCCCCCCACUGGGAUUGAGCACUUUUUCCAAAAUUUCCUCGGGAGGCAGCAGUGGGGAAUAUUGGACAAUGGGGGGAACCCUGAUCCAGCCAUGCCGCGUGUGUGAAGAAGGCCUUAUGGUUGUAAAGCACUUUAAGCGAGGAGGAGGCUACUUUAGUUAAUACCUAGAGAUAGUGGACGUUACUCGCAGAAUAAGCACCGGCUAACUCUGUGCCAGCAGCCGCGGUAAUACAGAGGGUGCGAGCGUUAAUCGGAUUUACUGGGCGUAAAGCGUGCGUAGGCGGCUUAUUAAGUCGGAUGUGAAAUCCCCGAGCUUAACUUGGGAAUUGCAUUCGAUACUGGUGAGCUAGAGUAUGGGAGAGGAUGGUAGAAUUCCAGGUGUAGCGGUGAAAUGCGUAGAGAUCUGGAGGAAUACCGAUGGCGAAGGCAGCCAUCUGGCCUAAUACUGACGCUGAGGUACGAAAGCAUGGGGAGCAAACAGGAUUAGAUACCCUGGUAGUCCAUGCCGUAAACGAUGUUUACUAGCCGUUGGGGCCUUUGAGGCUUUAGUGGCGCAGCUAACGCGAUAAGUAGACCGCCUGGGGAGUACGGUCGCAAGACUAAAACUCAAAUGAAUUGACGGGGGCCCGCACAAGCGGUGGAGCAUGUGGUUUAAUUCGAUGCAACGCGAAGAACCUUACCUGGCCUUGACAUACUAGAAACUUCCAGAGAUGGAUUGUGCCU